AGAGAGAGGAAACCUUAACCGAUUUGAGUGAUUCAAAAGCCUAAAUCGCUUAGAAUCUCCUCCUCUUUCAUAAUCCUUGCUUUGUUUUGAGUGGGGAGCAUUGUGGAGAGGGAUAUUGCCUCUCAAAAAUUCGGCCAUUGGUGAGAUUUUGGAGUUUUGGUGGCUUCUACCUCCAUGGGAGCUUGAGGAGCACUCACAUCAUUGUUGUGCAACCAUUGGUGGAUUGAGACAUUUGGACCAACCGUGAGUGAUCAAUCAUUGGAGCAAGCUAUGGAGCUUGAAUAGCUCAUUGGAAUUGGUGUAUAUUUGUAAAAGUGGAUUGCUGAAACUGUUGGUGAAGAACAAAGGUCGACUGAAGCAUUGAGGUAAGGAUGCUGCAGGAGCCUCUGGUGGCAAGUGGCCAUAUCUGGAUUAUGCAUGAAAUGUGGCAU